rfam:Danio rerio chromosome 4, GRCz11 reference primary assembly.
UAGCUCAGUCGAUAGAGCAUGAGACUCCUAAUCUCAGCGUCGUGGGUUAGAGCCCCAC